rnacentral:lncRNA from 1 species
ACCACUUUCUUAUAAUAAACCCGCUUCCUCCCCUUCUUCUCCUCCUUAUUUACCUUCUUCAAACUCCUUGUCGCCAUAGCUCUAGUUACCGCUCUUUUCUCUUCCCCCUUCUUCCUCUUCUUACUCUCCAACGCCUGAGGUGACACCGGAAAAAACGUAGCCUCACCCAAUUUACCCAAAUCUGGGAUUUCCCUUUCCUCACUGAGCUUACAUCUCAAGCUUUUCCGCGUCUUUACACUCUCCUCGUUUCUCAACCCCUUUUUCCUCUUCUCCGGUAACACAACGUCACCAUUCCCCUCACCCAAUUUACCCAGAUCUUCGUUGAGCUUACAUUUAGGGCUUUUCCCCAUCUUUACACUCCCCUCCUCACUCAAUCCCUUUUUCGUCUUCUUACUCUCCAACGCCUCAGGUGACACCGGACAAAACGCAUCCUCAACCACACCAUUCCCUUCACCCACUUUACCCAUUUCUGGGAUUUCCCUAUCCUCCUCAUUGAACUUACAUUUCGGGGCUCUAGGCGUCCUUACACUGGAUUCCUUUCGAUUAUUCCCAGAA